rnacentral:rRNA from 1 species
GACGAACGCUGGCGGCGUGCUUAACACAUGCAAGUCGAACGGAAAGGCCCUGCUUGCAGGGUACUCGAGUGGCGAACGGGUGAGUAACACGUGGGUGAUCUGCCCUGCACUUCGGGAUAAGCCUGGGAAACUGGGUCUAAUACCGGAUAGGAGCCAUUUUUAGUGUGAUGGUUGGAAAGUUUUUUCGGUGUAGGAUGAGCUCGCGGCCUAUCAGCUUGUUGGUGGGGUAAUGGCCUACAAGGGCGGCGUCGGGUAGCCGGCCUGGGAGGGUGGACGGCCAAAUGGGAAUGAGAAAAGGCCCAGAACCCUAACGGAGGCAAGAGGGGGGAAAAUUUAAAAAAGGGGCGAAGCCUGAUGCAACGACGCCGGGGGGGGGAUGAACGGCUUUGGGUUGUAAAACCCUUUGGCAGGGGAAGAAGCUUUUUUGAAGGGAAAGAAAAAAAAAAACCCCGGGAAAUAAGGG